UGCAACGUUUCAACCCGUCCUAAUGCUAGCCCAUCUGGCUGCUUUAUUAGUGACAACAGCAACGUCUUCCAAUGCUCUCAUCUGAGGCAGUGUUUCCCGAAAAAAUUACAGAAAGAACUUUGGGAUUUGAUGUACCAUAUUUUGUCUUUUUUUUUUCCUUUGAAAAAAAUAAAUCCCAACUGGAGAGCAUUUUAGAGAGAUGCUCUAAAUUUCUAUGUGCAUAGAAAUAUUCGACGCUGAAGUCAUUGAAGGAAGAACCAUGUCUUACUCAUCUUUGUAUGCCUGGCCUCUCACAGAUGCACACAGUGCCACUUCAGCAUCCAGCGUCUCUGUAUAUAUUUCUGUCAACAUCUGUUGAGUACUUACUAAGUGCCAAGCACAAUAAUCUGUACCAGGCAGUGGCAAACGAGGUAGGUAAGGGGCUUACCCCUG